AGCUCAGCUGGGAGAGCGCCAGGUUCGCAAUCUGGAGGUCGCGGGUUCGAUCCCCGUC
rnacentral:tRNA from 1 species